rnacentral:rRNA from 1 species
AGUCGAGGGGCAGCGGUGGUGAAGGCUUGCCUUUACCAGCCGGCGACCGGCGCACGGGUGAGUAACACGUAUGCAACCUGCCUGCCACAGCCGGAUAAUCGGGAGAAAUUCCGUCUAAUACGGCAUAAUGCACCUAUGGGACAUCCUGUUGGUGCCAAAGGUUAAUUCCGGUGGCGGAUGGGCAUGCGUCGCAUUAGUUAGUUGGCGGUGUAACGGACCACCAAGACGACGAUGCGUAGGGGUUCUGAGAGGAAGGUCCCCCACACUGGUACUGAGACACGGACCAGACUCCUACGGGAGGCAGCAGUGAGGAAUAUUGGUCAAUGGGCGCGAGCCUGAACCAGCCAAGUCGCGUGAGGGAUGACGGUCCUACGGAUUGUAAACCUCUUUUGCCGGGGAGCAAGCGUGCGUUCGUGAACGCACGUCGAGAGUACCCGGAGAAAAAGCAUCGGCUAACUCCGUGCCAGCAGCCGCGGUAAUACGGAGGAUGCGAGCGUUAUCCGGAUUUAUUGGGUUUAAAGGGUGCGUAGGCGGGAUGCCAAGUCAGCGGUAAAAAUGCGGUGCUCAACACCGUCGAGCCGUUGAAACUGGCGUUCUUGAGUGGGCGAGAAGUAUGCGGAAUGCGUGGUGUAGCGGUGAAAUGCAU